rnacentral:rRNA from 1 species
AUGGAGACGUCGACUGUCACCUACUCCUCCUCCUCCCCGCCCCCUUCCUCGUCGCCGCCGCAGCAGCAGGCCGAGCAGGCCGCCGACCUCGACGCCGUCAGCCUAGGCCGCCUCAGCGCCAACCUCGAGCGCCUCCUCGACCCGGCCUUCCUCAGCUGCGCGGACGCCGACGUGGUCCUCGCGGACGACGCCGCCGCCGUCGUCGGCGUCCACCGCUGCAUCCUCGCCGCCAGGAGCAGCUUCUUCCUCGACCACUUCUCCAACAAGCUCCCCGACCCCGCCGCCGCCGGCGAGAAGGAGAAGGAGAAGGAGAAGGAGAGGCCGCGGCUGGAGCUCGCGGAGCUGGUCCCGGGCGGGCGCCACAUCGGCCGCGACGCCCUCGUCGCCGUCCUCGGGUACCUGUACACCGGCCGCCUCAAGCCGCCGCCGCGGGACUCCGCGGUGUGCGUGGACGAGCGGUGCCCGCACGAGGCCUGCCGCCCGGCGAUAGACUUCGUGGUCGAGUCCACCUACGCCGCCGCCGGCUUCCAGAUCUCCGAGCUCGUCUCGCUCUUCCAGCGCCGGCUGUCCGACUUUGUGAGCAUAGCUCUGGUGGAGGACAUAGUGCCCAUUGUUCAUGUGGCUUCCACCUGCCAGCUCCACGAGCUGCUCAGCCAGUGCAUCCAGCGGGUGGCAGGAUCCAGCGUCGACAGCCGGUACCUCGAGAAGGAGCUGCCAGACGAGGCAUUUGCCAAGGUGAAGGAGUACCGGCGGUACUCGCUGCACGACGAUUCCGACGAGUUCAUCCUGGACCCCGAGCACGCCAAGAAGGUGAGGAACAUCCACAAGGCCCUGGACUGUGACGACGUCGACCUAGUUGGCUUACUAUUACAAGAGUCUGCCAUCACCUUGGACGAUGCAUUAGCCAUACACUAUGCUGCUGCAUAUUGUGAGCCCAAGGUGCUGGCCUUGCUCUUGAAGCUGGACCCUGCCGGGGACUGCGUAAACGUCAACCUGAAGAAUGACAGCGGGUACACGCCGCUGCAUUUGGCGUGCAUGAGGCGGGAGCCGCAGAUCCUUCUCUCGCUUAUCGAGAAGGGCGCGUCCGUGGUGGAGAGGACGCACGACGGCCGCGACGCGCUCACCAUCUGCAAGAGGCUGACAACAGAGAAAGACUGCAACAAGAAGCUGGAGAAAUGCAAGGAGAGGAGCAAGGCUUACCUGUGCAUUGACAUCUUGGAGCAGGAAAUCAAGAGGAAGUCAUUCAUCUUUGAGGAGCUCCUUUCGGCGGAGGUUUCGGUUGCCACACCUUUGCUGGUAGACAAUUUCCACAUGAGGCUCAUAAACUUGGAAAAUAGAGUUGCCUUUGCAAGAAUAUUCUUCCCUUCCGAAGCUAAGCUUGUCAUGCGCAUAGCACAGGCUGACUCAACCGAAGAGUUUGCCGGUCUCACGUCAGCUAAUUUCAAUAAACUGAAGGAGGUUGACCUAAAUGAGACCCCUACAAUGCAGAACAGGAGACUGCGUGAACGCCUCGAUGCCUUGACAAAGACAGUUGAGCUAGGGCGAAAGUACUUCCCGCAUUGUUCGGAUGUUCUCGACAAGUUCCUCAUGGAAGAAUCCACCGAUCUGCACUUCCUCGAAAGCGGCAGUGCCGAGGACCAGUACACCAGGAGGACGCGCUUCUCUGAACUCAAAGAGGAUGUGAGGAAGGCCUUCAGCAAAGACAAGGCCGUCGCAGCCAUAGCCUCGUCGACGUCCUCGUCUUCACCAAGGGGUGAUGGAAAGGUCAGUAGGCAUGGUCACAAGAAGGCGAGGCUGUCGCGGUGA